GAACGCUGGCGGCGUGCCUAAUACAUGCAAGUCGAACGAGUUCUCGUUGAUGAUCGGUGCUUGCACCGAGAUUCAACAUGGAACGAGUGGCGGACGGGUGAGUAACACGUGGGUAACCUGCCCUUAAGUGGGGGAUAACAUUUGGAAACAGAUGCUAAUACCGCAUAGAUCCAAGAACCGCAUGGUUCUUGGCUGAAAGAUGGCGUAAGCUAUCGCUUUUGGAUGGACCCGCGGCGUAUUAGCUAGUUGGUGAGGUAAUGGCUCACCAAGGCGAUGAUACGUAGCCGAACUGAGAGGUUGAUCGGCCACAUUGGGACUGAGACACGGCCCAAACUCCUACGGGAGGCAGCAGUAGGGAAUCUUCCACAAUGGACGCAAGUCUGAUGGAGCAACGCCGCGUGAGUGAAGAAGGCUUUCGGGUCGUAAAACUCUGUUGUUGGAGAAGAAUGGUCGGCAGAGUAACUGUUGUCGGCGUGACGGUAUCCAACCAGAAAGCCACGGCUAACUACGUGCCAGCAGCCGCGGUAAUACGUAGGUGGCAAGCGUUAUCCGGAUUUAUUGGGCGUAAAGCGAGCGCAGGCGGUUUUUUAAGUCUGAUGUGAAAGCCCUCGGCUUAACCGAGGAAGCGCAUCGGAAACUGGGAAACUUGAGUGCAGAAGAGGACAGUGGAACUCCAUGUGUAGCGGUGAAAUGCGUAGAUAUAUGGAAGAACACCAGUGGCGAAGGCGGCUGUCUGGUCUGUAACUGACGCUGAGGCUCGAAAGCAUGGGUAGCGAACAGGAUUAGAUACCCUGGUAGUCCAUGCCGUAAACGAUGAAUGCUAGGUGUUGGAGGGUUUCCGCCCUUCAGUGCCGCAGCUAACGCAUUAAGCAUUCCGCCUGGGGAGUACGACCGCAAGGUUGAAACUCAAAGGAAUUGACGGGGGCCCGCACAAGCGGUGGAGCAUGUGGUUUAAUUCGAAGCAACGCGAAGAACCUUACCAGGUCUUGACAUCUUUUGAUCACCUGAGAGAUCAGGUUUCCCCUUCGGGGGCAAAAUGACAGGUGGUGCAUGGUUGUCGUCAGCUCGUGUCGUGAGAUGUUGGGUUAAGUCCCGCAACGAGCGCAACCCUUAUGACUAGUUGCCAGCAUUUAGUUGGGCACUCUAGUAAGACUGCCGGUGACAAACCGGAGGAAGGUGGGGAUGACGUCAAAUCAUCAUGCCCCUUAUGACCUGGGCUACACACGUGCUACAAUGGAUGGUACAACGAGUUGCGAGACCGCGAGGUCAAGCUAAUCUCUUAAAGCCAUUCUCAGUUCGGACUGUAGGCUGCAACUCGCCUACACGAAGUCGGAAUCGCUAGUAAUCGCGGAUCAGCACGCCGCGGUGAAUACGUUCCCGGGCCUUGUACACACCGCCCGUCACACCAUGAGAGUUUGUAACACCCGAAGCCGGUGGCGUAACCCUUUUAGGGAGCGAGCCGUCUAAGGUGGGACAAAAAAUU
rnacentral:rRNA from 1 species